rnacentral:lncRNA from 1 species
AAAGAAGAAGCCUAGUGAUCUGAAACCUUUUUAUUUAGUUUUCAAUGACCCACUUGUACGUGUACAUGAGUGUGUCUUGUCAAAAAUCAGAGGCUAUCCCUUAGUGAAGUAUCUUUAUAUAUCUGUCUGCUGUGCAAUGAAAUAAAAAAGAAAAAAGGAAAAUAUGCAUAUUAAACAAAUGCAUAAAGAGGGAAGAUGAUUUUUUUUGGCCAAGGAUCUGGACUGGGACCCAGGGUAUUUGUGUUCAGUUCUCAACUCAGUCACAGACUAUGUGAUCUUGAGCAAAUCACUUAAUCUUUCUGGGGGAAAUUUUCAGAUGCACAAAUGGCAGUUAGGUAUUUAGGCAUUUAACUGCUGUUGAAAGUCAAUCUCCGAUCUGUACCUUUGAACAUCUCCUCCUCUCUACUUCAGUUUCCCACCUUUUGGGAAUAAUACUUUAUUUUCCUCACCUUUUGUCUUUUUUUUUUUUUUCUUCUUUCUCCUGUUUAGAGUAUAAGCUUUUCAGAGGGUGGGCUGUAACUGUGUUUGUGAAACACCUCCUAGCUUAGAGAGGCCCCAAUCUAGAUACUACCAUAAUACUAUGGAGAAUAAUUUGCUCUAACUUUACUGCUACAUUAGCAGAAAAUCUUCAUCUGCUGCUUAAGUUACGGGUUUGUUGGAAUUUUUGAAAGCAUUUAUUAGGGUUUACUUAAAUGCACAUCCAUGUCAAAGUUAUUACUAUACUUUCUUUCCUCAGCAUGCGUGCAUGUGUACACUUUUUUGCCACAUCUCACUGAUGUGUGGUUUAAAAAGUCAUGGAUUGCAAUAGACUUUAAAACCCAGCUGCUAGGCUGAACAAUCCAUUAACCAUAAUUCCUGAGCACUAGAUUUUUUUGCAGCUUUAAAUAUGCAUAGACAUGUAACCCUGUCCCUUCAGUCUCUCUGGGCUGGCUCCAUUCUUGUAGGCCAGCAGGGGAUCGAAACUGACAAGCUUCCUGCUGGUCUGGAGCUUCAGAGAAUAGGAAACUUCUUAACUUCAAUUCCCAGCUAACAAGAAUGAAGUUAGUGUGCCAGGCUGAAAGACUGCGUAGUACAGACAUCCAGAUCUGCAAACACAACAGGUUACCCAGCAUUAAUGUUGAUAUUAACAUUGGGACAAGCCUUGAUUUGCACCAAUGAUGGAAGAAGGGGGGGAAAAGUAUUUAUUAUGUUGGGAGUUAUUACAUUCAGGACUUGUCAGCCUUGACCUUAUAUUCCAAAGGAUCUCUUGUGUUAAAACGUCAUGAUUGCUUAGGUGAACAGAGACACACAAUAUCGUGAUUUUACAGCUG